UCUGAGCAUGGUCUGGGACUUUCCAAGGCCAGCAGAUGAGCCUCUCCACUGUCGGGUCAGGUUCCGGAAGCUCAUCAUUUGUAGCAUGGCACCUUCGUGGAGAACAAGGAGGGACAAGGGAUCAGGGCUUUGUGGAUUCCCAGACUGACGGGACCUACUACACUGCCGAGCGAGGGUUCAAAGCUGAGGCUGGGAAGACAGCUCCCUGGAUUCUUCUUUAGAAAUACGAGCACCCCUGGAAUCCUGAGCUCUUGACUCCUCAGCGCAAAUACAGCUCUCUGCCUGAUCUGACUGGAAGCAAAGACUGUCUUAAAUGUGGAUCCAAAACCAACGACAUUGAAGAGGCAGGCUGGCAUGAGGCUCUUAAGGGCCACCAAUGUGGCCUCCUGCCAGGCAAGAAAAGGAAUCCUCAGG